AUGAUGAAAAUGAAUGGAAUACUCGGAGUUGUCAUAUUCCUAUUAAUGAUUGUGACAGCUUUUACAGGAUACGUACCACCUUGGGGUCAGAUGAGCUUUUGGGGAGCAACAGUAAUUACAAGCUUAGCUAGCGCCAUACCAGUAGUAGGAGAUACCAUAGUGACUUGGCUUUGGGGUGGUUUCUCCAUGGACAAUGCCACCUUAAAUCAUUUUUUUAGUCUCCAUCAUUUACUCGCCCUUGUUCUUCAUUUUGAUUUAAAUGUUCUCCCCCCGGGAGCUGAGGAGUUCUGGCAGAGGCAGCCCCCUUUUCCAGAUCAUGAUUCUGGGGAGAAAACUGAUGAAUCGGAUCUCGACACGGAUUAUGACUUAACUGAUGAUUCAGAAACUGAUGAAUCAGGGAGUGAAUCUUCUUAUAUGGAUUGCUCUGAAGGAACACCCCCCUGA
rnacentral:rRNA from 1 species